ACAAUCAGCUGGGCUGAGAGGAUAUUGGGAGCUGGAACUCAAUAUAUGCAACCAACUAUGCUCAGUUGGUUGUGUGUCUCCAGGGAGUCAACACCAUCAUUUGGCUUUCUGUGCUUGUGUUUUUGAAUAUAGAUCUCAGUUGUGUGUGGGUUUUCCUUUCAGCCAUUUGAGGCCUUCCAUCACCCCUCCUUAUCUUUUGUUUUAAAUUCCAAUUUCUUGUCUAUAAUUUUGAUAGAAUGAGUGGGUGGUUGAAGGGCUAUGUUCUUCUGCCACUUUAAAGAAAACCAAGGUUCACUUAUUUGCGCUCACUCCGAUCACGACUUGACCAUCCAGCAGUUGUGCGACCUUCGGGUCGGCCACCCUCAGAGAAUCCUUGACCAGUUGUGUCACCUCCACCUGCCAGUCACUACCCAGCAGGAAGUUCUGCUGGCCCAGCCUGUCCUCCUCCGCUGCUCCUCUAACUUCUCCGGUAUCCACCACAAAGUGUGUGAGGACGCGCAAGGUGGUGCUCUGAUACUGAGCCACACAGCUGUUGUCCAUCCUCGCCUCUGCUGCAUCUUCUCCAUCUCUGUCAUCAGUGACCCGCUCAUACCUGCAGGAAUGGAAAAAGAUGUGCUGAUGAAGAAACAGAGUAAAGCAUGGAACAAUAAACAAGAACAGAAAUAAUUUUACACGGUAUUUUACUUCAGUAUGUUCCUUUUGAAGGUUAGCACUGGUAUAAGUGGACUUUUACUACCACAAUUUAAUGUAAUUUACUUUGUUCUUAAAAUCAUGAAUGCCCAUGAAGUCUGAACCCUCUGAAGUAUUCACCCCAGCCAAAGCCCCAACUGUCGAUUGAUCUGCAGGUUUCUCUGACCUCCUGAAAGUCUCCCAGUGUUUUCUAAAAUCCAUUAAAAACAGCUUGCAGAGACAAACUGCUACCUUG